GAAGGAACAGAGGUUGUGGGUGGAGAGAGAAUGAAGUCAUCUCUAGGUCCGGCUCCAAUCACCCUUCAGGUGUACGCAUUCAGAUGUGUCAGCAUAAGGGCCCCUACGAAGGCAACGAUGUCACCACUUGCAGGAAAAUGGAGACUCAGAGGCAGCUUGCAGGUGUGCACGCUCACAUUGAAACCCUGAGUACACGGAGUGAAAAAAAGAACUUCCCAGUAGGCUAUGAGCCGUGAGCAGACUGCGAAACCAUGAAGGAGAGACGACAGGAAUGCCAGAGCCUGAACUCAGCCAACUGUGAAAAUAAACUGUGAUUAUAAGAAGUCUA
rnacentral:lncRNA from 1 species